rnacentral:rRNA from 1 species
AGUCCCGUAACGAGCGCAACCCUUGUCCUUAUUUGCCAGCGCGUAAUGGCGGGAACUCUAAGGAGACUGCCGGUGACAAACCGGAGGAAGGUGGGGACGACGUCAAGUCAUCAUGGCCCUUACGAGUAGGGCUACACACGUGCUACAAUGGCGCAUACAGAGGGCGGCCAACUUGCGAAAGUGAGCGAAUCCCAAAAAGUGCGUCGUAGUCCGGAUUGGAGUCUGCAACUCGACUCCAUGAAGUCGGAAUCGCUAGUAAUCGUGGAUCAGAAUGCCACGGUGAAUACGUUCCCGGGCCUU